GAAAUAAAUACUCUUAAAUCCAGGAAACCAGAGACACUGGGGUAAAUCAGAUGCAAAAUCACCUACUGAGGAACAAUGUGUCUAAUCUUUGAACUCUUUUCAAGGAAGGUAUUUAACUGUGUGCAAGAUCUUCAGCUGGUUUAAGUUAUUAUAUGUACCUUGAUCUCAAGUCAGCCAGAACUAGCCUCAUAAAUUCAUGAUCCUGUUCAUACGUCACAUACUUCAGCCUGAAGUUCUCUUUUCUUAGAGUAAAAUGAAUAUAGCUCACAGUACAUUUGUACUGUGCCCUCUGUUACUAUGAAACUAAACUGUGCUUUCUUUCAGGGUAUCGUUUUGAUCCUAUAUUUCUCAGCUGGUACGUUCUGAUGGCAUAUCUGUUGGCUUCAGGCACCGCAGCACUCUUUUAAGGAGUAUUAUUGUACCUUAAAAUGGACAAUCAAGGAAUAUAAAACCUCUAAAUGUAUACCUGAUGUAUUCUAGGCAUUUUCUCCUUAAAAGAAAACACAAAACACCCCCAAGAAACAUUGCUUUAAGAGAGGAAGGGAGAAAAAACAAAGCACAGCAAUUCCUUUCCUCCUUUAAAAGAACAGCAACCUCUUAGGCUUUCCUCAUGAAUCAUAAAAUAAGGCAAGGUGGCAGCAGGGAGAAACAGAAACGAUUUCAUUCGUCAGUGACUUCAAGUUCUAUUUCCACUGCCAAACAGCUGCGCUAUCUGCCUUUCACUUGUACGCAAUGAGAGAUGACAGGCUUUUUCUUCAAGACUUUAAGGUUGUGGUAGUUCCUAACCUUACCUUAACUAACCUGGAAUAAUUUACCUUUGGAAUAGACAAGAUCCUAGCUUUGCUUUUUCUGUCUACCUUCCUUGAAGAGAAGUAUUAUUUUUCCUCCAGAUAUCCCCAGGUGGGAAUAUGGCUUCUUACAGCUACAGUUCUGGAUAUUACCAAAACCCUAAAACAAAAUAGCAUGACAAGUACCUCAAAAGAGGGAGUGAGGUUUAAGCGGUACAGCUGUUUCCUUUAUUUAGUUCCUCAUGCUCCUUCUCAUUGGCAUGCAAGGGCUGCAAGAGGAAGAAAGGCAUGCCUGGCUGCAGCACGUGGGAUGGCACUGACACUGCUGCCGCUGAGCUCUGAUCAGUUAAGUGUUCCCCUGUGUGGGAUGAAGGGAUGAAGACUAAUCUGCAGGUGAAGAACGUUUUCCUUAGGCUUGCAGGAUUGUUUUUUUUUUUUUUUUAAACUUACAGCAUAAUGGCAUUAGCAUUUUAAACGGCACUUCCAUUAAGUUAUACGAGUUAUCUAUUUUGAAGUAAUUUGAAGGACCUUUCAUUGUUAACUCCUCUUAAUUAAUUUUGGCUUUAUGGCGUUUGGGGGGCAAAUUGCCUUAGCCUUCACAUUUAUCCCAUCACCACUUGGCGUGACUGAGAUAUUACAGCUCUUAAGUGAAUUUCUUGUCAGAAGGAUCUAAAUCACACAGCUCAUGAGGCUCACCUGAGGAGGGUAGUUUUCAUUCUCCAUUUAGCUUGGCCUCUAAGCUCUGGGUGCCAUUCUGGGGCUUGCAAAUGACUGCUACAGAAACAGACACUACCAGCAUGGGGUCAAAGUCUCUACCUGCAGACUGCUCUUGGCCUGCAGCAAGAAGACCCCUCUCUGCUGCCUGCAGAGCCCAUCUGCACAGGACGGAGCUGCCUGGGAAGUCACUGCCACCCAAAGCAAUGCUUAGCAAAGUGUGCCCAUGAGAUAGUACUGCGAUAGCACCACGUGUUCAAAGUGACUCGUCUCAAUAUCAUAUCCUAUCCAGUUCACUCAGCAUUAACCAAAAUCUGUACUUCUCACCCUGACUAUCCAGGUGUUUCUCUGUUUUUCUUUGUUUCCAUGCCUCUUCCCAAACUCCAUCUCUGCAACACACCUCAAAG